rnacentral:rRNA from 1 species
GAAGACGGCAUACGAGAUGCGCGAGAGUGACUGGAGUUCAGACGUGUGCUCUUCCGAUCUGUUUCCCAGUCACGAUAAGUUACCAGUAGCGAGGUUAAGCGAAUAGUGAAGCCGAAGGGAAACCGAGUCUUAAUAGGGCGAUAAGUUGCUGGGAGUAGACCCGAAACCGGGUGAUCUAUCCAUGGCCAGGAUGAAGGUUGGGUAAAACCAAGUGGAGGUCCGAACCCACUAAUGUUGCAAAAUUAGGGGAUGAGUUGUGGAUAGGGGUGAAAGGCUAAUCAAACUCGGUAAUAGCUGGUUCUCCUCGAAAACUAUUUAGGUAGUGCCUUAAGAGAUGACUUACGGGGGUAGAGCACUGUUUCGGUGAUGGGGGCAUUCGUGCCUUACUGAACCGAUGCAAACUCAGAAUACCGUAAAGUUUAACUUAGGAGACACACUGCGGGUGCUAAGGUCCGUGGUGGAAAGGGAAAGAGCCCAGACCGUCAGUUAAGGUCCCAAAGUUGUGAUUAAGUGGAAAACGAUGUAGAAAGGCAUAGACAGCCAGGAGGUUGGCUUAGAAGCAGCCAUCCUUUAAAGAAAGCGUAAUAGCUCACUGGUCGAGUCGGUCUGCGCGGAAGAUAUAACGGGGCUAAAAUCACACACCGAAGCUACGGAUUUAGAGGAUAGACUAUAGAGGAUAGAAGAUAGAUGAAAGGGAUAAGUAGAUUUGAAGACUUAAGUGUAUUCAGGAAGGCAUAUAAAGUGUCUCUUGAGAUACAUACCUUGUGUUUGAAGAUGCCGAAAGAGGAGCAGUACGGAGGUAUUGCGGACCAGUUGAGGCGGUCGAGCAAGGGGAUAUGUGCGAACAUAGCGGAAGGUUAUGGAAAGCAGCAUGUGUCGAGUAAGGAAUUUCAAAGAUAUUUAUCGAUGGCGAUAGGUUCAGCGAAUGAAGUGAGGGUAUGGUUACGAUAUGCUUUAGAUUUAGGGUAUAUUGAAGAAGUACGCUGGCUGGAGUUCAAAGAGAGUUACCUUGAGAUAGCGAAGAUGUUAUCUGGGUUGCAUCGCAGUUGGAAAUGAAGGAUUCAUCUAUGUUCUGUUUUUUAUAGUCUAUCCUCUAGAUGGUAGAGGAGCGUUCUGUACGCCUGAGAAGGUGAAUCGAGAGGUUUGCUGGAGGUAUCAGAAGUGCGAAUGCUGACAUAAGUAACGAAAAUGCGGGUGAGAUUCCCGCACGCUGGAAGUCCAAGGGUUCCUGCGCAAUGUUGAUCAGCGCAGGGUGAGUCGGUUCCUAAGGCGAGGCUGAGAGGCGUAGUCGAUGGGAAACAGGUUAAUAUUCCUGUACUUUUUGUUAAUUCGAAGCAGGGACGGAGAAGGCUAGGUUUGCCAGGCGAAUGGUUGUCCUGGUGAAAGCAUGUAGGCGUUUCCCUAUAGUUAAGUACGUUGGGGGUAGCUGAGGUGCGAGAGGAGUUUUCCUUAGGGAAGACGAAGGAACUGAUGCCACGCUUCCGGGAAAAGCUGCUAAGGUUAGUUAACAAGGAACCGUACCCCAAACCGACACUGGUGGACAGGUAGAGAAUACUAAGGCGUUGAGAGAACUCAGGUGAACGAACUAGGCAAAAUGGUACCGUAACUUCGGGAGAAGGUACGCUCUUGCUGGUGAAGAGAUUUACUCUUGGAGCUGGUGGGAGUUGCAAAUACUAGGUGGCUGCGACUGUUUAACAAAAACACAGCACUCUGCAAACACGAAAGUGGACGUAUAGGGUGUGACGCCUGCCCGGUGCCGGAAGGUUAAGUGAUGGGGUGCAAGCUCUUGAUCGAAGCCCCGGUAAACGGCGGCCGUAACUAUAACGGUCCUAAGGUAGCGAAAUUCCUUGUCGGGUAAGUUCCGACCUGCACGAAUGGCGUAACGAUGGCCACACUGUCUCCUCCUGAGACUCAGCGAACUUGAAGUGUUUGUGAUGAUGCAAUCUCCCCGCAGCUAGACGGAAAGACCCCAUGAACCUUUACUGUAGCUUUGCAUUGGACU